CUCUACUAAGUAAUUUUAUGCUCUAUGCUUUCGAGGUCUGGCUCAUAGGACAAGCUAUAAUAUGGAAACGGGAUGCUUUGCAAAUGCAGAGUAUCAGAUACUGGUGUUCUAUUGUUCUAUUCAUGACCCUACACAUGAUUACAACGCACAUGUGGAUGUUCAGCAGGGUAUCGACAUCUGCGAUUUCACCAUCUCUGCACCAUCCCGAGGUUUUGCGUCUGCUUCUCCUUCUCGGCAGAAGAUGGUAGUCGGUCAAAUAUCUGUAGCCCCUAUGUGUGGUUGUUCAGCAGGGUAUCACCAACAACGAUUUCCCCAUCUCUGCAUCAUCUCGAGAUUAUAUGGUGGAAAGAGGAGGCAUAGAGGGGGGUGGAGUGGGAAGAAGAGAGGGUGAGAGAGGAGGAAGUGGAGACCCUGCCGGCGUAUUGGUGAAAAACCACCUCCCUGACUUUCUACACCAUGGGUUAUCAUCUAAAAUUGAUUUUUAGAGGAAUCAGGACAUGUUCUUUUUUCCUUUCCACAGUUUCUCAUCUAAAAUGGAUUUUUAGAGGAAUUAGGAUCUGAUUCCUGGACCAUUUGCUGUGUACUGAAUGUGUAUGUACCAAUGCAAUGCUUC